ACGCUCUGCCGAACUGGGAACAGUAUUUCCCAAAGUUUAUUCCAUGGAAGAAAGUAUUUUCAUGCUUAAAUGGGUUUAGGGAAGAGUGAGGACUGAACAACGUUCAGGUUGAAACUUUAACAUGCUAUUAUGAACUGUGUCUCCACAAGGAGCCGUA